rnacentral:lncRNA from 1 species
UUUUUUUUUUUUUUUUUUUUUUUAAGGGCUGCCCCUGCCGCAUAUGGAGGUUCCCAGGCUAGGGGGUCAAAUCCGAGUUGUAGCCGACAGCCUACACCACGGCCACAGCCACACCAGAUCCGAGCCGCGUCUGUGACCUAUAUCACAGCUCACAGCAACGCCGGAUCCUUCACCCACUGAGUGAGGCCAGGGAUCGAACCUGCGCCCUCACGGUUCCCAGUCAGAUUCGUUUCCCCUGCACCAUGACGGGAACUCCCGGAGAGACUUUUAACAAGAAUUUUCAUUGAUGGGUAGUUGAUGUACUAUGUUGUGCUAAUUUGUGCUGGGCGGUGGUUCGGGUAUACAUAGAGAUACAUUCUGUUUCCUAUUCUGUUCUGUUAGGGUUUGUCACAGGUUGAAUAUAGAGAGCUCCCUGGGCUGGGCAGUGGGACCUUGUUGAACUUUUUUGUUGUUGUUGUUGUCGUUUUUUAAAGUUUCAUUGCGGUGGACUUCAUGUGCAGCGUUGGGAUCCUUUCUGCUGUGUAGCAAAGUGACUCAGGCAUCCGUGUCCACACAUCUGUUCUUGCUGAGAUUCUUUUCCCACAGAGAUGAUCACGGGGUAGUGGGUAGAGCUCCCUGUGCUGGACAGCAGGUCCCUGUUGGCCCGUCAUUCCAUAGACCUGAGGGUGCACGUGCCAACCCCGCACCCCCCCGUCCAUCCCUGCCCCCCACCUGUCCCCUUAGGUCACCGAAAGAUUGUUUUCAAAGUCUGUGAGUCUUUCUGUCCUGCCAAUAAGGUCAUUGCUGUCCUUUUUUCUAGAUUCCACGUGUAAGUGAUAUCAUGUGAUGUUUGCCUUUCUCUUUCUGACUUACGUAGUGUGACAAUCUCUAGGUCCAUCCAUGCUGCUGCUGAUGGCAUGAUUUCGUUCUUUUUCAUGGCUGCGUCGUAUUCCGUUGUAUGUAUGUACCAUGCCUACACGUCCAUCAGCAGAGGACUGGAUAAAGAUGUGGCACAUACACUUUGUGGAAAAUGACUCAGCUGUAAAAAAGAAUGAUGGAAGGUAACAUAAGAAAGGGAAUGUGUGUGUGUGUGUUGUGUGUGUGUGUAUCUGACUGUUACUUUGCAAUGUAGCAGAAAUUAGCAUAUUGUAAAUCAACUCUAAUAAAAAUUUUUUUAAAAUAAAAUUCUUCUACCACCACCACCAACAAAGAAUGAAAUCAUGCCAUUUGCAGCAACAUGGAUAGACCUGGAAAUAAACUAUUUGUUUUUUUUAGAGCCACAUCUGCUCCUGGGAACUUCCAUAUGCUGCAGGUGCGGCUCUAAAAAAAAAAAUUAAUAAAAAAUAAGGGCGUGGCUUGAGCCCAGUGCCAGCUCAGCUUUUCUGUCUCCCUGGGGGGCACUUGUGGGAAAGCCACUGGCCUCCCUUCUUCCUCCUGAGUCAGACUUUGUGUGCAGGCUCUUUAAAGCCACUGCCUCAGAGAAAGCAGUGAAAAAAAAAAAACUCCACAAAAGGCAGAAUUUUUACAGUGAUGUCAUUUCAGUAGUGGGAAGGACCAGAGGUUAAUUUGGCCCUCGGAGACCUGAAUUUUGGCUCUUCUGGUCAACUGCACAUAUUUCUGUGGGGCUGGAAAAUCAUGACCCAGAUGCCCAAAGGCCGGAGACAGGGCACCGGCCUCGUUCCUGAGCCCUGUCACCCCCACCCCCGUCCCCGGAACACACGCUCACGGCCUGUCUUCUGGGACCUGUGCUCUUUCUCUCCCGACCCUAACGGGGUCGCCCUGUGACCCAUUAGGGGGAGCGAUGCGGCUUUCAGAAUAUCACCCGGGAAAGACUUGGGGCUGCAGCCGAGACCCCCUAAUUCUGACUUUGCAAACCUUUGCUGGGGUCCUGGUGAGAAGUCCGGCUGGUGUAUUUGGCAGGAAACAUCCAGAACUCACUGUCUGUCUUUCUGUCUGUCUCUCUUCCUUCCCUCCUUCCUUUUCUCUUUCUCUCUCCCUCCCCCACAGCCCCAGGUCCUGCUUAGCCAUUGAAACCCCCCGAAGUCCCCAGGGUGUCUGUCUGUCCCACAUUGAAUCCCAUUCUUCCCCCACGUGCACCUGGACUCGGGUUACUGACCUCACGAGCCAGGCCGGGCUCAGAAGGAAGCUGUAGCUCUCUGUCCCUUGAUGUCUGAAUUUAAAGCUUGACACCUCCCCCCCCCUUUGGGAGGCUUUAUCUGCAUGUGUGCCCCAUACACCCUGGGGUCCUGCAGGCCAUGAGGGCAGGCAAGCGCUCUGCUCUCCAGCCCUGUCCCCCAGUCCCUGCGAAUCUGUACUCUGACCAAAGUCGCUCCAGCAUGUUUUAGUUUUGGUUUGGUUUGGGGGUGUUCCCCCCCCCCCUUUUUUUUUUUACAACUGCUGGGUCCACAUUGCCCGGGCCGCUGCCUGCGGCGGGGACUGUUUGGCGACCUGUUCAGGGAUGCGGUUGCGUGGAUGUGCCUUCCUGACGGUGGUGGAAGGUCCUUGUCAGCGGUCGGCCGCGGGGGGCAGGCAGCCGGCCCGCGGGAGCCUUGCCCAGGUCCCACUGCCCACUGGAGGGACGGAUGGACAGAUGGGCGCCGCCCUGGAUGCAGGGAGCAUCCUCUCGUCGGAGGGAGAGGAGAUGCUGCUGGGGUUCCGCACGCCUCCCCCCCCCCGAGCACAGCGGGAGGUGUUGGGGCUCCAGACCUGAGUGUGGCCUGGGCGCGCUGGGGGGCCCUGGCGUGCUUAGCCCUCUCCCUGUGCCUCCGUCCCCCGCUUUCGUUUUGUGGCCUCGAUUCCCCUGUGACUCCUCCCUGGCAUUUUUCUCUUGGUUGUCAUGGAAAAGGGCCGCUUGUUCUGCACCCCUAAAAAUAUCCGUUCAGCAACGACACCGCCCCCGUUCGGAGGGCUCCAUAGAUGGGCUGUUGCUCUGAGUCUGAUGACCUGCUUGAAAAGGCCUUUCGGUGCGUUUCGAGGGGCCCCUUGACCCCUCCGAAUGGCGAUGUUGAAGCUGGAAGACUGUUGUUUAAAACAGUGGAUGUACCGGGGCGGUUAAGUCUGGGGCUCUUUCAUGAACAGUGGAAGCAGAAACCAGAAAGGCCUGCUGGUAGCUCCGCGGACGGCGGAGGGUCCUGCCGACAAGGGCGGGGAGGAGGAGAGCCCGCACCAGGCACAGGACACCCCACCACACCCCGUCAGAGUCCUGCAGCCCCCGUGGCAGUGGGGCUGAGGCUGAGGAAUGAACGCCCUCUAGCGAGGGCCGCUUUCCAUCACCUGUCUCUCUGCCUGGCCGCCAGCUCUCCAUCUUUCUUGCGGUUUCUCCAUCAGUUCAUCCAUCCACCCAUCCACCCACCCGUCUUUCGCUGUAUCUCUGCCUCUCCAUCCAUCCUCUGUCCCUUGAUCUUCUGUCAUCUGUCAGUCAGUCUAUCCAUCCAUCCAACCUACCGUCUUUCUAUCUCUAUCCACCUGUCCGUCCAUCUUUCUUUCCUUCUAGUAUCUGUUUAUGUCUGUUGACCUCUGACGUCUAUCUUCAUCCUUCUGUCUAUCCAUCAUUUCUGUUUCUUUCUUUCUACCUGUUAUAUAUAUAUCUAUCUCUAUGACCGAUCUAUUGAUUAUCGAUCUAUUACCUAUAAAUCUGUUUCUUUGACCUCUCUAUUGAUCUGUCUCUCCCAUCUGCCUAUUAUCUAUCUCUCCAUCCUGGGAGGUACAGCCUCCUAUUAAACUCUGUCAGGGUGACUCCCUGUCACUGUGCACGGACGCUGCACUGUCCUUUGCGGUGCUGGGGUGCGGUUCUAACUGAUGGGUGAGGUGCCCUGUAAUUGAGAGGAUGUCUUUGCAUUUUGCACAACACAAACCAUGCUUUAUAUCAAAUAGCAUGCAUGGGUAUACAGGUGUGGGUGCAUCUGUGCGCAUAUGAGGAUGUGUGUUUGCAGUCUGGGGUGUGUCUCUGGGGUGUGUGUGUGUCUCUGUGCUGUAGGUUUUCAUGUCUUGUGAGCUUGUACAUUUCUUUGCUUUUUUGGUUUUGUUUCUGAAUCACCUAUGCUUUGCUUCAUUUUUAGCGACUGGGGUUCUAGAAAAAGCCUUACUGCUUAUGCAGGGUUUUUUGUUUUGUUUUUUCCUUUCUUUUUUUUUUUUUUUGGUGCUCAUUUAAGACUCCCAAGAAGUUGCAAACGGGAGUUCCAGGAGUUCCCUGGUGGCUCAGUGGGUUAAGGAUCUGAUGUUGUCACUACUGUGCCAUGGGUUCAAUCCCUGUCCCCAGAACUUUUGCUUGCCUCAAAUACAGUCCGAAGAAGAAGAAAUUGCAAACAUAAUGCAUCCAACCUCCCCAGAUAACAGCGUUUUACACCAUAGCACAGUGUCCAAACUAGAAAUUUACUGCCCUAUCAAUUGCAAAUAUCUUUGAGUUCAUUUCAUUUCAAAAACUGAUAGAAGUAAUACAGACACAUAUAUUUUACUUAAAAUGUUGCUGUGCUUUUAUGUAGUGCUGCAUGGAUGGAAUAACAUACACAACAUCUUGCAAAAUUUUUAAUGUAACUGAAUUUACAUUUUCUGGCACUUGGGUAUCACUUAGGGUUUCAUCCCAGUUAUAGUAUGAUGCUGGACCUGGUUUCUGGUUUUAUUUAUUUUUAAUUCAAGACAUGAAACCCGUUGUCAGUUAUUGGUAUAUGGUGCAUCGUAGAGAUUGUUUUUUUUUUAAUGGAGUGCUUUUCUGGAACUGUUGAUGGAAUAGCCUAUCUUUUCCCUGCUGUAUGAGGUCUCAACUCUCCCACAUUCUCGUUGCCCAAUGUAUUUCCCUUUUUGUUUCCAUCGGUCUUAUCUUUCACCUGCACCCAAAACAAAUCAGGGAGUUCCUGUCUCUUUGCUGGAAACACUGACACUCCAUGGGAGUCAUAUUUUGGAGCAAAAGCUGGCAGGAAGUCCUUAGAAACCCCCCUUUGCGAUUCUGUCCACGUCUGAACCGAGCCAGUAAUCCCCUUGCAGAGGGUGUGCUUACGCUCGUAGGCUGUUGAUGUCAUAUAAAACUUGCAUUAACGUUAUUGUUUAUUAGCGCCCAGUCCCGAUUUUGUUUUACAGUCCAUGUGUAAUGUUGGAACACACACCAGCAGAUGUCGAUCUGCAGUAUUUCUGUCACCUCUGAAAGCUGACGAGCAGAUGCUUGGAAGCACGUUCUUGUUCUUGUUCCCUGUUGUUCUCAACAGUAGGGGGUUGCCGCGUAUUCUCUUUCUAUGCUGAGAUGUAGAAUAGUCACAUUUUCAGAUUGUCUUUUCUGCUGUUUAACUGAAAGGUGUCAGUGGAAGUCAAUGAGCUCCUAAAAGUCCACAUAAACCUCCUGGGUCUUUGCCUUUGUUUUCAGAACCUUUUGGUAGACGAGACUAUUUCCUUGAGACCUCCUGGGUUUUCUCUCCAUAUUUAUUUUUCCGUGGCUCCCCACCAUCACCAGCAUCCUGAUCUCACGGGGAAAACUACUUCACAUCUUGCCAAGCAUGAAAAACCCCAUAAAUACUGGGCUGCCAUAAUCUUCUCAAGACCCAGCAUACAGAACUCUGCUGUAGGGAUGUGACCACACGCAGGUCCAGCUAGCUGCUUGCUGCUCAAAAGCCGGUACACACAAGGCAGGUGUUGGUAAAAAGGAAAGUUUGCUUUAUUCCAGAGGCUGGCACCCUGAUGAGAAGGUGGACUCAUGUCCAAAAGUCAAUUCCCCAUUACUGAUCAUGGGGCAAGAACUUUGAAAGGAGAAUUUCACGUAGGCUACAGAUGCAGCUUGGAUCCAGUGCUCCUGUGGCUCUGGUGUAGGCUGGCAGCUGCAGCUCCAAUUCAGCCCCUAGCCUGGGGUGCCAUGGGUACAGCCCUAAAAAGAAAAAA